AUUGAACGCUGGCGGCAGGCCUAACACAUGCAAGUCGAGCGAGCGGCGGACGGGUGAGUAAUGUCUGGGAAACUGCCUGAUGGAGGGGGAUAACUACUGGAAACGGUAGCUAAUACCGCAUACCAUCAGAUGUGCCCAGCGGGGAUUAGCUAGUAGGCGGGGUAACGGCUCACCUAGGCGACGCUCCCUAGCUGGUCUGAGAGGAUGACCAGCCAGACUGUAACGGAGACACGGUCCAGACUCCUACGGGAGGCAGCAGUGGGGAAUAUGGCGCAAUGGGUGCAAGCCUGAUGCAUCCAUGCCGCGUGUGUGAAGAAGGCCUUCGGGUUGUAAAGCACUUUCAGCGGGGAGGCGUUACCCGCAGAAGAAGCACCGGCUAACUCCGUGCCAGCAGCCGCGGUAAUUC
rnacentral:rRNA from 1 species